rnacentral:lncRNA from 1 species
AGAAGCGAAGCUGCCAAAGUGGCAACUGACCUCAGCCCAGGACCCUCUCCCCAUUUCAGAUUGGAAAUAACGAGAGUACAGGGCUGUGUGUAUCUGAUUCUGCAAUGCGUCUGCCAUGCCUGGGGAGCUGUUGGGAGAGGGAGCACCAUGAAGUUCACCAGCAGCCAGAAGAAGAUUCCUGAGAGGCCAAGCCAAGUGCUACCUAGAGAGGCCAGCAUGUGGGCUCCACAUUUCUGCUGAAGACGCCUGUGCCCACAAUAAGGCCUGUGUUGGUGUCAGUCUGGAAGAUUAGAGAAGCGGGCAGUGCAGAGCGAAGAGGAGACAGCAGUGGCCAGAGGUGAAACACUGAGGUAGCAGCAGAAAUUCAAAGAAAGAUGACCAGGAAAGAACAUAAGACAUUAAUGGAGCUCAUGUGAGGUAUCUAGAGGACCCAAGUGGUGUUUUUAAAAGAAGCUUAUCAAUGCUGGCAGAUUCCUGCCUCGGUGUGUGUCCCACGACUAAAAAGGAAAUCCAAUUCUAUUUGAGAAAACUGACAAGACAUUCUUUUCCUUGGAGAAAAUGGACUGGGACAAAUUACACACAAAAAGCUGAAAUCUCCACCACCAGUGGUUGAAAAACAAUCGAGCCUCCAUUAGCAGUUCCUUUGCCCACAGAAUGCUCUCUGAGGAACUACGGGGUUUGGAAAAAGUGCAGGCCUCUAUUCUUCAUCCACGACACAUCAAAGUUGUAAUAAAAACCUGCUUUUCUUUGUG